rnacentral:rRNA from 1 species
CUAACAAGGAUUCCCCUAGUAACUGCGAGUGAAGCGGGAAAAGCUCAAAUUUAAAAUCUGGCGGUCUUUGGCUGUCCGAGUUGUAAUCUAGAGAAGUAAUGCCCGCGCUGGACCGUGUACAAGUCUCCUGGAAUGGAGCGUCAUAGAGGGUGAGAAUCCCGUCUCUGACACGGACUACCAGGGCUUUGUGGUAUGCUCUCAAAGAGUCGAGUUGUUUGGGAAUGCAGCUCAAAAUGGGUGGUAAAUUCCAUCUAAAGCUAAAUAUUGGCGAGAGACCGAUAGCGAACAAGUACCGUGAGGGAAAGAUGAAAAGAACUUUGGAAAGAGAGUUAAACAGUACGUGAAAUUGCUGAAAGGGAAACGCUUGAAGUCAGUCGCGUUGGCCGGGGAUCAGCCUUGCUCUUUGCUUGGUGUACUUCCUGGUUGACGGGUCAACAUCAAUUUUGACCGCUGGAAAAAGGCAUGGGGAAUGUGGCAGCUUCGGCUGUGUUAUAGCCUCUUGUUGCAUACAGCGGUUGGGAUUGAGGAACUCAGCACGCCGCAAGGCCGGGUUUCGACCACGUUCGUGCUUAGGAUGUUGGCAUAAUGGCUUUAAGCGACCCGUCUUGAAACACGGACCAAGGAGUCUAACAUGCCUGCGAGUGUUUGGGUGGUAAACCCAAGCGCGUAAUGAAAGUGAAAGUUGAGAUCCCUGUCGCGGGGAGCAUCGACGCCCGGACCAGAACUUUUGGGACGGAUCCGCGGUAGAGCAUGUAUGUUGGGACCCGAAAGAUGGUGAACUAUGCCUGAAUAGGGUGAAGCCAGAGGAAACUCUGGUGGAGGCUCGUAGCGAUUCUGACGUGCAAAUCGAUCGUCAAAUUUGGGUAUAGGGGCGAAAGACUAAUCGAACCAU